AUUAAUGUCGAUCCCAACAACACAGAAGCAGAGUUAGUUUCAGACUUAAUUGAUGUUUCAACAAGAAAAUGGAAGAGGACAUAGUACAAAAAAUUCUGCAAAAUUUUUUGGCGGAAUAAGCACAUGAUGACUUUCAAGUCUGGUGAGGAAAAUAUUCCGGUGAUUUUUCAGUCCGAAGUUCCUAUAAACUAUUACAAGAGGCUAGUAUAGAUCCUAGUUCUUAUUUAUUAUAGGCCGAAACAAAGAAUUUCUAUAGAAAGCUAUGGAAUUUACAUCUCCAUCAAAAAUUGCUAUUACUAUAUGUCGAAUCUCAUGGAAUUUUAUUCCUACUCUAUCGAAUCUCAAACUCAAGAGGAUGGUCGCAAACAACUCAUGUCAUUGCUGUCAUAAUGCGGAAGAAGAUGGUAUCCAUGUUUUCCUACAAUGCCCUACAAUUACAGAGACAUGGCAACUUCUUAAUCUUUCAUGGGUCAUUAAUACCAAUAUUCAAGAUAUGUGGGAAAGGCUGACCUUGAUCUUCACUAUCAGUAGCAGCAAACAAUGUCGCCUAUUUUGUUGUGCCAUUUGGAUAAUCUGGAAAUCAAGGAACUAGCUCGUCUAUGAGUAAAAAAUAACAAUAGGAAGGGAGCUAUCGAACCGAAUCCAAAGCUAUAUAGCAGAGAUUGACGGGUUGGAAGAAAAGGCACUUACCUUAGUUGUUGGUCGUGGACAGAGAUAGGGAGAAAGAAGUGAGAGAGUAGCUAUCUAUUUUGAUGUAGCCUUUGACGGUGAAUCUUCCAGAUCGGCCUUGGAAUGGUGGUGUGCGGGAUGACAGGUGAGCUCUUAGCUUCUAAGACGACCCUUCAUGCUGAAAUAUCGUCUCCAUUCAUGGCGGAGGCAUAUGCAAGUUUACAAGAAGUGAAGUUAGGGCUUUUCAUUGGGUUUCAAACAGUAGACAUUUUAGGAGAUUCAAAAUCGGUCAUAAAGAAAUUUAAAUCAGAAACGACAGACAAAUCCGUACUAAGGGUAAUUAUCCGAGACAUUCACAGCAAAAAGUGUAACGCCCCUAACCCGAAUCCGUCACCGGAAUAGAGUUACGGAGCAUUACCGGAGUUACCGAUUCAUUUAUCAGAUAUUUCAUUAAUCCGAUAUCUUUUCUUUUCCACGUUCAAGUCUCGUAUUCAAGUCAUCCGGAUCUUUAUAAAGAAAUUUGAUCGUCGUUUUCAUUUAUUUUAUGUUAUAAUACAUUCAACUAAUGCUCUAAAUAAAAUUAUCAUUUUACCUCUAAACUUUUAAUUAAUGACGAUUUCAUCCUUAGGUUAAAAUAAAAUAUAAGUAUUACAAUUUAAUCCUUAUUUCCAGCCGUUAUUCUCACACAAAUUGAUAACAACCUAUGAAUUCUAUAAAAUGUCAGAAUUUUCCAUAAUUUCAACACUUUUUAAUCCUUAAAACAUUUUUUCCCUGAUCUUGAGCUAAAUUAAAAAUUUCAUUCAAUUCUGUAAUUUAAAUAAUAAAAUAAUCCAUUUCAUGCAAAUUGGUCAUUUCUAACAUUUUUUUUACAAAAUUACCCAUAAAAUUUUACUUUUAUUCAAUUUAGUCCAUGAGCCUAAAACAUACAAAUUAGCCAUGCUAGCUGAAUAUUCAUACAUAUUUUUCUCCUCCCCCUCUCCAUUCCACAUCCUUAAUUUAUAUAACAUGCAACAAGUAACAUUAUCAAUAAUUUCACUAUUUACUUAUGUAUAUUCAAAACUGUCCAUUUGCAUCAUAGUCACUAAAUUAUUUAUAUCUUAAGCUACAGAACUCGAAAUUAAGAUCCGCUAAUUUUCCCUAAAACUAGACUUACUUAUCUUAUUACCAUAAAAUUUUCAGAAUUUUUGGUUUAGCCAAUAAGUACAGUUUAUUCUUUAAAGUUGCCCCUGUUCUGCUAUCUGAUAGUUCCGACCCUUCUUCACUAAGAAUUAAUUAUCUCAUCGUACGAGAUUCGGAUGAUGUUCCCGCUUAUUUAUAUUGAAAAUAGACUAUUUAAGGAUUUUAAACAUAUAAAUUUAAUCCCUUAAUUAUUUUUCUCCAAUUUUUGAUGAUUUUCUAAAGUCAGAACAGGGGAACCCGAAAUCAUUCUGACAUUGUCUCACAAAACUUAUUAUAUCUCAUGAUUUACAAUUCCAUUGCUUACACCGUUUCUUCUAUAAGAAACUAGACUCAAUAAGCUUUAAUUUUAUAUUUUAUUCAUCCUCUAAUUAAAUUUCUAAAAUUUUUGGAGAUUUUUCAAAGUUAGACUAUUGCUGCUGUCCAAAACUGUUUUAGUGCAAAAUGUUGAUUUUCAUUUUGCCCCAAAUUUCACAGUUCAUACAAUUCAGUCCUUACUUAAUUAACCCCUCAAUUAAACUAAUUUUAUCAAUUAAUACUUUUCCUAGACAUUAUAAGUUAUUUCAUAACUAUUGAAAUUUAGAAUUUCCACAUAAAACUCUAACUUCAAACUCUUUUACAAUUUAGGUCCCAAGCAUUCACUUUCUAUUCAAUUCUUUCAAUAAAAUCAGCAUAUAAACAAUUUAAAGCUCUAAUUCUAUAUCAAAUCAUCAUAUACUUUCAGCACAUAUUCAUAGAAACUUUCAAUUUCUUUCAUAGAAUCAAGAACUAAUGAAUUCAACAAAUGGACCUAGUUGUAAAAGUCACAAAAACACAAAAAUUUCAAGAAAUAAUCAAGAAUUGAACUUACUUGCAGUAAAAAUAUGAAAAACAAGCUUAAGGGAACUCUUCCAUGGUGUUUUUUCUGAUGAGAAUGCAGAAAAAUAAAGAGAAAUCUAGAUAAUUCCACUUUAGUCCUAGCUUUAUUAAGUAAAUUUUGCAAUUAUACAAUUUUGCCCUUAUUUUCUUGGUGAUUUCAUGCUCUUGCCGUCCAGCCCAAAUAGACCUUGGGUUUAUUUUCCUUUUAAACCCUCUUUUUUAUCAUUUAAUCUAUUUAAUCAUUUCCUACAAUUUUGCAUUUGAUACAAUUUAGUCCUUUUUGUUCAAUUAGCUAUCAGUACUUUAAAAUUUCUUGACGAAACUUUAAUACUAACUUAUUAACACUCCAUAAAUAUUUAUAAAAAUAUUUAUGGCUCGAUUUAAAAUUCUUGAGGUCUCGAUACCUCGUUUUCAAUUCUAAUUAUUUUAAUAUAUAUAUAUUUUUGUACAUUUCACUAUUUCAAAAUUUUUCCUAACUUCACAUUUAACUUAUACUCACUAAAUUAAUAAUAUUUCCUACUCAUUUUUCGAAUUUAGUGAUCUCGAAUCACUGUUUCAACACCUGUUACAAAAAGCCUCUUUUUCAAGAAAUCAACUUCCAGUUUGUUCAAAGAUCUAGAAAUGGCUUUGCUCAUAAUUGUAACAGCCAAAUUUUUCAGCGGUGUCAGAAACAGUGAUUCGAGAUCACUAAAUUCGACGAGUAAGUUUAGAAAUUUUAACAAAUAAUAAUUAUAGGCCAAGCGCGAACUUAAAAGAAUUAUUUUUAAUUAGUGAAUUUUGCGAUUUUAAAAGAAUUAAUCAGGUAAAUUGGGUUGAAAACAAGGUAUCGAGACCCCAGAUUUAUAAACCGAGCCAUAAAUAUUUGUAUAAAUAUUUAUGGAGUGUUAUUAAGUUAGUAGUAAAGUUUCGUUAGAAAAUUUUAACGUUUGGUUAGUCAAUUAAUUAAAAAGAACUAAAUUAAAAAUAGUACGAAAUUUAUUAAAUUGUGAUUAAAUAAUUUAAGUGAUUAAAAGGAGAGAUUUAAAAGGCAAUUGGACCCAAAUUGUAUGGGCUGGACGGUUGGACAAGAAAAUCAGCAAAAAAGACAAGGAGAAACAAGGGCAAAAUGGGAAAUUUCACAAAUUAAACAUAUAAAACAAGACAAAAUUAAAAAAUCUAGAGAUAUCAUCAUAUUUCUUCAGAAAAAAUGCCAUGGGAGGUCUGAAAGCUGUUGGUUUUUCAUACUUUGACAUAUGUGAGUUCAAUUCUUGCCCUUUUCUUUGAGAUUUUUAUGUUUUUGUGGCUUUUAGAAUUAGGUCCAAGUGUUUAAUUCAUUAGUUUUUGAUUAUAUGGACAAAAUUAAAAGCUAUCAUUGAUAAUUGUUGGCUGUUUAUGAUGAAAUAAAAUGAAUUUUAAGCUUUGAUUUUGUUAUUUGAUGAUUUUAUCAAGUAAAUUCAAUAGAAAUUAAUUUUAGGACCUAAUUGUAAAAAAGUUGUGAAUUAAGGUUUAGUGUUAAAAUUCUGAUUUUCAAAGGUUGUGUAAUAGUUUAGAAUGAUGGAAUAAAAUUUUAAUUGAGAAAAAUUAGCUUAAUAGAUGGGCUAAUUGAGCAAGGACUGAAUUGUAUGACCUGUGAAAUUUAGAGGAAAAAUGGUAAUAAACAUCUUGAACUAAAACAGCUUUGGACAUCAGCAGUAGGUUAACUUUGAAAAAUCACCAUAAAUUUUAAAAAUUGAAUUAGAGGAUGAAUAAUAUGUGAAAUUAAAGCUUAUUGAGUCUAGUUUAUCAUAGAAGAAACAGUGUAAGCAAUUGAAUUGUAAAUUAUGAGAUAUAAUGAAUUUUGUGAGACAAUAUCAGGAUGAAUUCGAGUUCUCAUGUUUUGACUUUGGAAAAUCACUAAAAAUUGGAGAAAAUUAUUUAGAGGCUAAAAUUUAUAUGUUUAGAAUCCUUAAUGAGUCUAUUUCAAUAGAAAUCAACAAGAACAUUAUCUGAGUUCUGUACUGUGAUAUAAUUAAUUUUUAGUGAAGAGAAGUUAAAAUUGUCAGAUAGUGAAAUAGGGGAAACUUAAAUGAAUAAACUGUACUAAUUGGCUAGACCAAAAAUUUUAAAAAUUUUAUGGUGGAAUUAUAUGUGAGUCUAGUUUCAGGAAAAAUUUACGGAUCUUAAUUUGGAGCUCUGUAGCUCAAAUUAUAAAUAAUUGAGUGACUAUGACUCGUGUGAACAGUUUGAUGUGAGCAUUAAUAAGUAAAUUGUGAAAUCGUACUUACAAGAAUGUUAUAUACAUUAAGGAUGUGGAAUGGAGGAGAGGAGGAGGAGGAAAAUAAAUAAUAUAUGUUUAUAAGAAAAUAGUAUGAGAACGAUACAUAUCAUGACAUGUAUAUAUAUGACUAGAUUCAAUAUGAUGCUUGUUGGGUAUGAAGUUGAAUUGAAAUGUCUAAGGCAAGUAUUUUAUUCUGCGCAUCUAAAAUGUGGUAUUUUAUAAAGAUAUGAUCUAGCUUUAAGUAUGAAUGCUUGAUGAUUAAGCGAAAAUUUUUAUGAAAAAUCAGUUGAGUUCCGACUUGAUUUUAAUGUUCAUGUUGGGCUUCGAGGGCCCAAAUAAAAGUUGUUAUAUAUAUAUAUGAUCUCAGAAAGUGAAUAGUAAUGUUUUGAUUAAUCUAUAAAUGUUUUGUAUGUAUUGGUAACUUGUAACACUCUGUAACCCUGUUUCGACGACGGAUACGGGUUAGGGGUGUUACAAUAAUCUGGCAAGAGAAGCAUUAAGGAAGCGAGAAGAAAAGUACCUGGAGGGAGCAGAUCUCGUUCAUCUCCAACGCGACCGAGAAGGGAGAAGGCCAAGGCAACCAGAUUGAAAAAUCUCCGAAGAAGAUAUGAAAAUAUAAGGGUAGCAGCAAUGAAAUACUUUCUUGGAACUUGGUAUCAGUUGGUAAGCUGGUAUAGAGAUUUGAAAAGACAAAAAGUUAAUAGGUACCAGCUAUCUUGAUAGUGACUGGAUUAGGUUUCCAAUUUUUUAUUUCGUUUAUUCUUUAUGUUCUUUGUUUCUCUUGGGCCUUUUAAGUUUUUUGGGCUGUUUCUUCUUUUAUUUGUUUUCUUUAUUCGGGACUUAGUCUCAGAGUUGUAAAGGAGUUUUUAAUUUUGUUUAUUUGUUUAGUUUUAAUAAAAUCCAGUCGCAUUUUU
rnacentral:lncRNA from 1 species